AUGAACGCUAGCUACAGGCUUAACACAUGCAAGUCGAGGGGCAGCAUGGUCUUAGCUUGCUAAGGCCGAUGGCGACCGGCGCACGGGUGAGUAACACGUAUCCAACCUGCCGUCUACUCUUGGACAGCCUUCUGAAAGGAAGAUUAAUACAAGAUGGCAUCAUGAGUCCGCAUGUUCACAUGAUUAAAGGUAUUCCGGUAGACGAUGGGGAUGCGUUCCAUUAGAUAGUAGGCGGGGUAACGGCCCACCUAGUCUUCGAUGGAUAGGGGUUCUGAGAGGAAGGUCCCCCACAUUGGAACUGAGACACGGUCCAAACUCCUACGGGAGGCAGCAGUGAGGAAUAUUGGUCAAUGGGCGAGAGCCUGAACCAGCCAAGUAGCGUGAAGGAUGACUGCCCUAUGGGUUGUAAACUUCUUUUAUAAAGGAAUAAAGUCGGGUAUGCAUACCCGUUUGCAUGUACUUUAUGAAUAAGGAUCGGCUAACUCCGUGCCAGCAGCCGCGGUAAUACGGAGGAUCCGAGCGUUAUCCGGAUUUAUUGGGUUUAAAGGGAGCGUAGAUGGAUGUUUAAGUCAGUUGUGAAAGUUUGCGGCUCAACCGUAAAAUUGCAGUUGAUACUGGAUAUCUUGAGUGCAGUUGAGGCAGGCGGAAUUCGUGGUGUAGCGGUGAAAUGCUUAGAUAUCACGAAGAACUCCGAUUGCGAAGGCAGCCUGCUAAGCUGCAACUGACAUUGAGGCUCGAAAGUGUGGGUAUCAAACAGGAUUAGAUACCCUGGUAGUCCACACGGUAAACGAUGAAUACUCGCUGUUUGCGAUAUACAGCAAGCGGCCAAGCGAAAGCGUUAAGUAUUCCACCUGGGGAGUACGCCGGCAACGGUGAAACUCAAAGGAAUUGACGGGGGCCCGCACAAGCGGAGGAACAUGUGGUUUAAUUCGAUGAUACGCGAGGAACCUUACCCGGGCUUAAAUUGCAGAUGAAUUACGGUGAAAGCCGUAAGCCGCAAGGCAUCUGUGAAGGUGCUGCAUGGUUGUCGUCAGCUCGUGCCGUGAGGUGUCGGCUUAAGUGCCAUAACGAGCGCAACCCUUGUUGUCAGUUACUAACAGGUUCCGCUGAGGACUCUGACAAGACUGCCAUCGUAAGAUGUGAGGAAGGUGGGGAUGACGUCAAAUCAGCACGGCCCUUACGUCCGGGGCUACACACGUGUUACAAUGGGGGGUACAGAGGGCCGCUACCACGCGAGUGGAUGCCAAUCCCCAAAACCUCUCUCAGUUCGGACUGGAGUCUGCAACCCGACUCCACGAAGCUGGAUUCGCUAGUAAUCGCGCAUCAGCCACGGCGCGGUGAAUACGUUCCCGGGCCUUGUACACACCGCCCGUCAAGCCAUGGGAGCCGGGGGUACCUGAAGUGCGUAACCGCGAGGAGCGCCCUAGGGUAAAACUGGUGACUGG
rnacentral:rRNA from 1 species